AUGCUUGCUUCAGCAGCACAUACACUAAAAUUGGAAUGCUGGAGAGGUCAGCGUGGCUUCUGUGCAAGGAUGACACACAAAUUCAUGAAGAGCUCCAUAUUAAA
ensembl:snRNA U6 U6 spliceosomal RNA